UACGGAGGGUGCAAGCGUUGUCCGGAAUCAUUGGGCGUAAAGCGCACGUAGGCGGUCUUUUAAGUCUCAUGGUGAAAGGCUGGGGCUCAACCCCAUGCAUGCCGGGGAUACUGGGAGACUGGAGACAGGCAGAGGCCAGCGGAAUUCCGGGUGUAGCGGUGGAAUGCGUAGAGAUCCGGAAGAACACCGGAGGCGAAGGCGGCUGGCUGGGCCUGAUCUGACGCUGAGGUGCGAAAGCGUGGGGGGCGAACAGG
rnacentral:rRNA from 1 species